UUGCAGUCCUGAUGCAUGGAGAAAUGCUCAACUCCUGAUGCAUGGAGAAAAGGCCUUCACAAGCCUCUGCUAAUGGGUACCUAGUUUAUACUAAGUGACCCAUAGGUUGAGGAGGCGGUGACCGUGGCGGUGGAGGAGGAGGAUGAGGUAGCCAACACUGUUUUUUAUAUAUAUAUAUCUGUGCCUACCAUGGUGAUCACGGGUAACAGGGAAUCAGGGUUCCAUUCCAUACAGGGACCCUGAGAAAUGGCCACCACAUGCAAGGAAGGCAGCAGGCGCGCAAAUGACCCACUCCCGACGCGGGAAGGUAGUGACGA